rnacentral:misc_RNA from 1 species
AAAAAAAAAAAAAAAAUACAUUAUUAAAACAUGUUUGGUUUUGUUAUUUGAUGUAGUGAAGAGAAAGGCAAAUCACCACAACAAGUGAAAAUCACAAAAGUGGGUUUUUACUUCGUUUCAUCAAAUAGGUUUUCGUACUUGCAACUUUUAACCAUUGAACCACCAGCUCCAAAAAAAAAAAAUUGUGGCUACAGGCCCUUAAUUUUUGCUAGCUUUAGUUACACUCUGUGAAGCAUGGAAAUUCCAAUCAUUGGAGUUUUAAUUUUUGCUAGCUUUAGUUACACUCUGUGAAGCAUGGAAAUUCCAAUCAUUGGAGUU